UUUCAUUGUGGCCAAGUUGCAUCUUUGCAGAGAUUAUUAAAUGGAGGAUUUUCUUUGAUCUUGAGUGUAAAAGAGAAGUUAGGAUCCUGGACUGCAAGUAGACCAUGCAGCUGGACUGUAACUAGCUGAUCCUACAACCUGGGCGUAGAACAGGGACUGAAAGUAGAAGUGGCCAUUAGAGACCCUCACUCCGUAGAAAUCCAUGGUCCCAUAUUCAAUAUUUUCUACGCUAUCAGUUUCAUGGGGCUGCUGUAACAAAUUACCACAAAGUAGGUGAUUUAAAACAAUAGAAAUACAUUUCUUCACCAUUCUGGAGGCCAAAAGUCCAAAAUCAGGGUGUCCUCCCUCUCCAGGCUCUAAAGGAAAAUCUCUAGCCUCUCCCACCUUCUACUGGCUGCAGAUUUUCCUUGGUUUGUGGCUGCACCACACUAACCUCUGCCUCCAUGGUCACAUUGCUUCCUCCUCUUCUUUGUGUGUCUAUGUCUCUCUACAUUUCUUGGUCUAAUCUUCCUUUUAUUCAUAAGGGUAUAUAUGAUUGUGGUUAGAGCCCACCUGAAUAUGCAGAAUAAGUACCACCUCUGAAGAUCCCUAAUGCAGGCUAGGAAUGUAGCUCAGUGGUAUGGGGCUUGCCUACCAUGUGUGUAGGCCCUGGGUUCAAUCCCCAGUACUACCAAAAAAAAAAUUUUUUUAACUUAAAAACUUAUUAAGAUCCUUUUUACAAAUAUGAUAACGUUCACAGGUUCUGGGGAUUAGGACAUGUUUUGGGGUGGGUCAUCAUGCAACCUACUAAAUCUGCUUUUAAUUUUUUUUUUUCUUUCUAUUAAGCAUUGUAAUUCUUUCUGGUGUCCUGAAAUUUUCAGUCAAGUGUGAUUAGACCUCAUCUGGUUUUGGUGCAGAGACUCAUCCACUUGAGAUGAAGUUGUCAGCAGGAGACCAGCUGAAUAUUGCGAUUAGUGAGAGGAAGCCUGAGGAGAUAGAACAGUGGGGCAGAGCAGCUGGCCAGCUGAGAUGAUGAAGAAAAGGUGGUUCUGACUUAU
rnacentral:lncRNA from 1 species